rnacentral:lncRNA from 1 species
GUGGCCAAGUCCAAGAACCACAUCUAUACAGCCAAUCCUGAUAAUGGCACAGAAACGACAUCAAGAAAUCUCAGUCACAAAGAUAUGAAUCUCUUAAGGGGUUUGACCCCAAGUUCCUGAGGAAACCGUGCUUUGCCAAGAAGCACAAGAAAGACCUACAGAAGGUGUAGGCAAUGAAUGCAUGUGCAGAGGUCAUCAAGGCCCUUGAGAAGCCUAAGGCAGUUAAGCCCAAGAUGCCAAAGGGCCCCAGCCACAAACUCAGCCAUCUGGCUUUCGUCACUGACUCCACCCCUAGGAGGCAGAUUCUAUUCUGCAUGGCCAGGAGUUGCAGGCUAUGCCAAGCAAAGUCCAAGCUCAAACCAAGGCUACAGCCAUAGUUCUAGCUCAGGCCCAGGCUUCAGCUCCAGUUCAGGCUCUCAAAGGUGCCCAGGCCCCUGUGAAGGCCCCAGAG